GACGAACGCUGGCGGCGUGCUUAACACAUGCAAGUCGAACGGAAAGGCCCUUCGGGGUACUCGAGUGGCGAACGGGUGAGUAACACGUGGGUGAUCUGCCCUGCACUUUGGGAUAAGCCUGGGAAACUGGGUCUAAUACCGAAUAGGACCACGCGCUUCAUGGUGUGUGGUGGAAAGCUUUUGCGGUGUGGGAUGGGCCCGCGGCCUAUCAGCUUGUUGGUGGGGUAAUGGCCUACCAAGGCGACGACGGGUAGCCGGCCUGAGAGGGUGACCGGCCACACUGGGACUGAGGUACGGCCCAGACUCCUACGGGAGGCAGCAGUGGGGAAUAUUGCACAAGGGGCGCAAGCCUGAGGCAGCGACGCCGCGUGGGGAUGACGGCCUUCGGGUUGUAAACCUCUUUCAAUAGGGACGAAGCGCAAGUGACGGUACCUAUAGAAGAAGCACCGGCCAACUACGUG
rnacentral:rRNA from 1 species